rnacentral:rRNA from 1 species
UUUGACGUUACCUACAGAAGAAGCACCGGCUAACUCCGUGCCAGCAGCCGCGGUAAUACGGAGGGGUGCGAGCGUUAAUCGGAAUUACUGGGCGUAAAGACGCAUGCAGGCGGCCUGUUAAGUCAGAUGUGAAAGCCCGGGGCUUAACCUCGGAAUUGCAUUUGAAACUAGGCAGGCUAGAGUCUUGUAGAGGGGGGUAGGAAGUUUCAGGUGUAGCGGUGAAAUGCGUAGAGAUCUGAAGGAAUACCAGUGGCGAAGGCGGCCCCCUCGGACAAAGACUGACGCUCAGAUGCGAAAGCGUGGGGAGCAAACAGGAUUAGAUACCCUGGUAG